AGAGUUUGAUCAUGGCUCAGGAUGAACGCUAGCGGCAGGCUUAACACAUGCAAGUCGAGGGGUAACGGGGAAGCUUGCUUCCGCCGACGACCGGGGCACGGGUGCGUAACGCGUAUACAAUCUACCUUAUACUGGGGUAUAGCCUUUAGAAAUGAAGAUUAACCCCCCAUAGUCUCUUAGAGUGGCAUCAUUUUUAAAGUAAAGGUUACGGUAUAAGAUGAGUAUGCGUUCUAUUAAUUUGUUGGUGUGGUAACGGCACACCAAGACUACGAUAGAUAGGGGCCCUGAGAGGGGGAUCCCCCACACUGGUACUGAGACACGGACCAGACUCCUACGGGAGGCAGCAGUGAGGAAUAUUGGACAAUGGAGGCAACUCUGAUCCAGCCAUGCCGCGUGUAGGAUGACUGCCCUAUGGGUUGUAAACUACUUUUAUACAGGAAGAAACACCUCUACGAGUAGAGGCUUGACGGUACUGUAAGAAUAAGGAUCGGCUAACUCCGUGCCAGCAGCCGCGGUAAUACGGAGGAUCCAAGCGUUAUCCGGAAUCAUUGGGUUUAAAGGGUCCGUAGGUGGAUAAUUAAGUCAGAGGUGAAAUCUUGCAGCUCAACUGUAAAAUUGCCUUUGAUACUGGUUAUCUUGAGUUAUUAUGAAGUAGUUAGAAUAUGUAGUGUAGCGGUGAAAUGCAUAGAUAUUACAUAGAAUACCAAUUGCGAAGGCAGAUUACUAAUAAUCAACUGACACUGAUGGACGAAAGCGUGGGUAGCGAACAGGAUUAGAUACCCUGGUAGUCCACGCCGUAAACGAUGGUUACUAGCUGUUUGGACUUCGGUCUGAGUGGCUAAGCGAAAGUGAUAAGUAACCCACCUGGGGAGUACGUUCGCAAGAAUGAAACUCAAAGGAAUUGACGGGGGCCCGCACCAGCGGUGGAGCAUGUGGUUUAAUUCGAUGAUACGCGAGGAACCUUACCAGGGCUUAAAUGUAAGUUGCAUUAGUUAGAGAUAGCUAUUUCUUCGGACCACUUACAAGGUGCUGCAUGGUUGUCGUCAGCUCGUGCCGUGAGGUGUCAGGUUAAGUCCUAUAACGAGCGCAACCCCUGUUGUUAGUUGCCAGCGAGUCAUGUCGGGAACUCUAACAAGACUGCCAGUGCAAACUGUGAGGAAGGUGGGGAUGACGUCAAAUCAUCACGGCCCUUACGUCCUGGGCUACACACGUGCUACAAUGGUAGGGACAGAGAGCAGCCACUGGGCGACCAGGAGCGAAUCUAUAAACCCUAUCACAGUUCGGAUCGGAGUUUGCAACUCGACUCCGUGAAGCUGGAAUCGCUAGUAAUCGGAUAUCAGCCAUGAUCCGGUGAAUACGUUCCCGGGCCUUGUACACACCGCCCGUCAAGCCAUGGAAGUUGGAAGUGCCUGAAGUCCGUCACCGCAAGGAGCGGCCUAGGGUAAAGUCGAUAACUAGGGUUAAGUCGUAACAAGGUA
rnacentral:rRNA from 1 species